AGUAUACAAUUUAUUUCUCCAUGGGCAACAAGACAUGCCAGCAACUGCACGGCUACUUCUCCAUUUAGCCAGACAGAGAAUAAAGGGUCCCUGUAUUCAUGCCUUCCUGGAAAUCUCAGUGCAAGGCCCUAUCAGGAGGUUUCCUGGAGCAGCUAAGGGAACAGCUAGACCACCCAGGAAGAAAUGACAGAAGCCUACCUGACUUCCAAUCUGCUUGCUUCAUGGUGUAAUGGGGGCCUAGACAGAAGCACCCCAAGGACACUUACAACAACUGUUCUGCCAGCUCUAGUCCAUUGGAGAAGAUGUGCCAACAUACCUUCUCACCAUCCCUAGAGCCCAACCUUGCUAUGGAAAGGUCAAACCCUUACCAUUGGCCCUGCCAAGGAUCCCCAGACAGAGAAGCACAAUGGAGGCCAUAAAUUAUGGCUUCUUAUCAUGGCCUCCACAUAACUUAAACUCUGGAUGGUGAAUGAAAUCUGGGGCCAAGUCUUAAAGGGUCAGGGUAGCCAAUGAGCAUAACUCAAUAUUUGUGUUUCUAAGAGAAAACCACAGAACCUCCAUAUCCAUGGCAAACUGGCCAGCCACAGGCUGGAUCCAGUGUGCAGUAGUGUUUUGUGUACACCAUUCACUAUUUGUCUACUUGGGUUAAAAAUGUUUUAUAUUAGUUAGCAAUGUUUAAACAUUGGGAGAAUUAAAGGGAAAUGAAAACGUACUUCCCACAAAUACUUGCACAUAAAUAUUCACAGCAGCAUUGUUUAUAAUUGCCCAAAACUAGAAACAACCCAAAUAUCCAUCAACUGAUGAAUGAUAAACAAGUUGUGGUAUAUUCAUCCAAUAAAACAAUAUUCAGCAAUAAAAAUAAACAAAUCAGGCACUUAAUAUAAUUGAAUAUCAAGGUCAUUAUGUUGAGUGAAAGAGGCCAGAAAAUAAAAGUAUACACUAUUUGAUUCCAUUUAUAUAAUAUUCUAGAAAAUGAAAACCAGUCUAUACUUACAGAAAACAAGGUGGUAGCUUACAGAGAUGGGGUAGAGGGAGGGAGAGAUGACAGAGAGGCAUAAAAAAACUUUCCGGACAAUGAAAAUGUUCUGUAUUUUAAUUGUGGUGAUGGUUUCAUGGAUGUACAAGUUCAUCAAAUCUCAUCAAGUUAAAUAUAUGCAUUUAUUUUAUAUUAAGUGUACCUCAAUAAAGCAGAAAAAUUUAAAAUUGGUAAUAUUUAUAUACAAAUUGAGAUAUCUAUAUUUCUUGAAAAUCAAAAUGUCUGACAUCAUUUGGUCUACAUAUUUAUCUGCCAAAAAUACAGGAGAUAGACAGUAGCUGUCCUUUAGAAGGGGCAUACCCUUUCGAGUUUGCAACAGGCCUUCAUACUUCCUGCUGCUUACCCAGCAUUCAUUACAUGUUUAUUGUCAUUUAUUUAAGUUACUUAUUGUGAACCUAAUGCAUGUAUGGCCUCAUUCUAGGUACUGGAGACUAAACAUGCAAACACACCUAACUGGCAUGGUUUCCAUUUGCCUAAUUGUCACGGGGUACCAUGAAGUUUACAUUUUAGUGAGAUUGGAGAAAGAUAGACAUUUAGAGUUAAUAAGUUGGAUAAAUAGUAUAUUAGGUGGAAAGAAG
rnacentral:lncRNA from 1 species